GCUACUGCUUAAGGGCCACGAGAGGAAGACAAAGCAGUUCAGAAACACUCAAAAAUGCUAUCAAAUGGUAAAUUAUAACAUAGUACUUUGUUGUAGACCAUAGUACUAAAUAUGGUGUAUUUAAUUUUUAUUUCUAACUAUAGCCCGCGUUUAAGAUCCUCAGCCUAUUCCUCAGACUAACCUGAUGCAGUGAGCAGCAGUCAGAACCCACUGAUCAGAAAUAAGGCUUCCACCACAAGUGUGGUACCAGCUGCUGCCACUUUUGUACUGGAGGGAAAUCUAGGUGAAGAACAGAACUGGGGAAUUACAGGGUAAACAGCUAAUUCUGCACAAAUGGAAAAUGAUUUUGAACAAUGACAGAAAUUAAGAUUAACAGGACAGUAUGUUUUAAUAAAAAACAAAACAAAAACAAGCAGAAAAAAAUGUCAUUUAAAUAAUGGAAUGUGCAUGAAGGCCUACCUGCCAGGGCCAGCUGUGUGGACGGACAUCCACACCCCCCACAACCCUCGUUAUAACAGGAGGGUAGGUGGGCAGCCCACAUCCAUAAGCU